rnacentral:rRNA from 1 species
ACUAAAUAGAUACCCAGGUAGUCCACGCCGUAAACGAUGGAUACUUGGUGUUAGAGGUAUUGACCCCUCUAGUGCCGAAAGCUAAACGCGUUAAGUAUCCCGCCUGGGAAGUACGGUCGCAAGAUUAAAACUCAAAGAAAUUGACGGGGGCCCGCACAAGCGGUGGAGCAUGUGGUUCAAUUCGAUGCAACGCGAAGAACCUUACCUAGGUUUGACAUGUAUUGGAAGACUACCAGAAAUGGUGUCGCCUUCGGGCCGAUACACAGGUGCUGCAUGGCUGUCGUCAGCUCGUGUCGUGAGAUGUUGGGUUAAGUCCCGCAACGAGCGCAACCCUUGCUAUUAGUUGCCAGCAUUUAGUUGGGCACUCUAGUAGGACUGCCGACGUUAAGUCGGAGGAAGGUGGGGAUGACGUCAAGUCCUCAUGGCCCUUAUAUCUAGGGCUACACACGUGCUACAAUGGUCGGAACAGAGGGAAGCUAAGUAGUGAUAUGGUGCUAAUCCCAGAAAACCGAUCUAAGUUCGGAUUGGAGUCUGCAACUC